rnacentral:rRNA from 1 species
GACGAACGCUGGCGGCGUGCUUAACACAUGCAAGUCGAACGGAAAGGCCCUGCUUUUGUGGGGUGCUCGAGUGGCGAACGGGUGAGUAGCACGUGAGCAACCUGCCCUUGACUUUGGGAUAACUUCAGGAAACUGGGGUUAAUACCGGAUAGGAGCUCCUGCUGCAGGGUGGGGGUUGGAAAGUUUCGGCGGUUGGGGAUGGACUCGCGGCUUAUCAGCUUGUUGGUGGGGUAGUGGCUUACCAAGGCAUUGACGGGUAGCCGGCCUGAGAGGGUGACCGGCCACAUUGGGACUGAGAUACGGCCCAGACUCCUACGGGAGGCAGCAGUGGGGAAUAUUGCACAAUGGGCGGAAGCCUGAUGCAGCAACGCCGCGUGCGGGAUGACGGCCUUCGGGUUGUAAACCGCUUUCGCCUGUGACGAAGCGUGAGUGACGGUAAUGGGUAAAGAAGCACCGGCUAACUACGUG